UUCGCAAUGCCCGAAAGGGUGACGAAGCGACGCCGCGUGUGGGAAGAAGGCCUUCGGGUUGUAAACCACUAUCGGGAGUUAAGAAAUGCAAGGAUAUGAAUAGUGUCUUUGCUUGACUAAGGCUCCGGAGGAAGCCACGGCUAACUCUGUGCCAGCAGCCGCGGUAAUACAGAGGCGGCAAGCGUUGUUCGGAAUUAUUGGGCGUAAAGAGCACGUAGGCGGCUAUGUAAGUCGGUUGUGAAAGCCUUCCGCUCAACGGGAGAACAGCAUCCGAUACUACAUGGCUUGAGUGCGGGAGGGGAGAGUGGAACUUCUGGUGGAGCGGUGAAAUGCGUAGAUAUCAGAAGGAACGCCGGCGGCGAAAGCGGCUCUCUGGCCCAUAACUGACGCUGAGUGUGCGAAAGCUAGGGGAGCAAACGGGAUUAGAUACCCCGGUAGUCCUAGCCGUAAACGAUGGGCACUAAGUAGAGGGGUUUU
rnacentral:rRNA from 1 species